rnacentral:rRNA from 1 species
CAGUCGCCACGGUAAUACGGAGGAUCCAAGCGUUAUCCGGAUUUAUUGGGUUUAAAGGGUACGUAGGUGGCCUGUUAAGUCAGGGGUGAAAGACGGUAGCUCAACUAUCGCAGUGCCUUUGAUACUGACGGGCUUGAAUGAACUAGAGGUAGGCGGAAUGUGACAAGUAGCGGUGAAAUGCAUAGAUAUGUCACAGAACACCAAUUGCGAAGGCAGCUUACUAUGGUUUUAUUGACACUGAGGCACGAAAGCGUAGGGAUCAAACAGGAUUAGAUACCCGAGUAGUCCCUGUCUCUUAUAC